UGCACGGUAGGCGCAGUUGGUAGCACUGUUGCCUUUCAGCAAGAAGGUCCUGGGUUCAAUUCCCGGCCUGGGGUCUUUCUGCAU